rnacentral:rRNA from 1 species
UACGGGAGGCAGCAGUGGGGAAUAUUGCACAAUGGGCGAAAGCCUGAUGCAGCUAUGCCGCGUGUAUGAAGAAGGCCUUAGGGUUGUAAAGUACUUUUCAUCGGGGAGGAAAAAACAAAACUAAUAAUUUUAUUUCUUGACGUUACCCGAAAAAGAAGCACCGGCUAACUCCGUGCCAGCAACCGCGGUAAUACGGAGGGUGCUAGCGUUAAUCAGAAUUACUGGGCGUAAAGAGCACGUAGGUGGUUUUUUUAAGUCAGAUGUGAAAUCCCUGGGCUUAACCUGGAACUGCAUUUUGAAACUGAAAUACUAGAGUAUCGUAGAGGGAGGUAGAAUUCUAGGUGUAGCGGUGAAAUGCGUAGAUAUCUGGAGGAAUACCUGUGGCGAAAGCGGCCUCCUAAACGAAUACUGACACUGAGGGUGCGAAAGCGUGGGGAGCAAACAGGGAUUAGAUACC